AUUCUUAUCUGGCAGAGGCGACACUAUGAUGAAAUAUGUGGUUUUCCUAGAGUGAGGGUCAUCCAUGGUACUCAGGGUGUGCUGACCCCUGUGAUUUCCUCAAGUGGGGCAAACUUGACUGUACAGUUUGUGUAGUGAGGAACUGUGUUUGCGCUUUACUUGA